rnacentral:rRNA from 2 species
UUGGCCUCGGAUCAGGUG